rnacentral:sRNA from 1 species
AGCCGCUUCGGAUAAGCUGGAAAACUCAACAGAAAAAUCGUACUGAGAUAAGUUUAGGAGUUCAAUGGCGGGCUGCACCUUCGGGUUGUCGAGAGACACGGCAGAUUACAACGAAUUCUGACACUCAAACCCUAUUUAUUAGGAGUUUUCUCACAACUUCCGAAGUGGCUUUAUUC